UAAAUCCGGUUGAUCCUGCCGGACCCUACUGCUAUCGGGGGAGGACUAAAACAUGCAAGUCGUGCGUCUCCAAGCUAUGGUGGAGACGCGGCAUACGGCUCAGUAACACGUGGCUAACCCACCCUUGAGACGGAGAAAACCCCGGGAAACUGGGGUUAAUCCCCGAUAAGAGAAGAUACCUGGAAUGGGUCUCCUCUCAAAGGGCGCCUAGACCAUGCUUCUAGGCGCUGCUCAAGGACGGGGCCGCGGCCGAUCAGGUUGUUGGUGAGGCAACGG
rnacentral:rRNA from 1 species